UACGUAGGGUGCGAGCGUUGUCCGGAAUUACUGGGCGUAAAGAGCUCGUAGGUGGUUUGUCGCGUUGUUCGUGAAAACUCACAACUCAAUUGUGGGCGUGCGGGCGAUACGGGCAGACUGGAGUACUGCAGGGGAGACUGGAAUUCCUGGUGUAGCGGUGGAAUGCGCAGAUAUCAGGAGGAACACCGGUGGCGAAGGCGGGUCUCUGGGCAACAACUGACGCUGAGGAGCGAAAGCGUGGGGAGCGAACAGG
rnacentral:rRNA from 1 species